AACGAACGCUGGCGGCAUGCCUAACACAUGCAAGUCGAACGAGACCUUCGGGUCUAGUGGCGCACGGGUGCGUAACGCGUGGGAACCUGCCCUUAGGUUCGGAAUAACUCCCCGAAAGGGGUGCUAAUACCGGAUAAUGUCUUCGGACCAAAGAUUUAUCGCCUUUGGAUGGGCCCGCGUUGGAUUAGCUAGUUGGUAGGGUAAAAGCCUACCAAGGCGACGAUCCAUAGCUGGUCUGAGAGGAUGAUCAGCCACACUGGGACUGAGACACGGCCCAGACUACUACGGGAGGCAGCAGUGGGGAAUAGUGGACAAUGGGCGAAAGCCUGAUCCAGCAAUGCCGCGUGAGUGAUGAAGGCCUUAGGGUUGUAAAGCUCUUUUACCCGGGAUGAUAAUGACAGUACCGGGAGAAUAAGCGCCGGCUAACUCCGUG
rnacentral:rRNA from 1 species